UACGGGGGGAGCAAGCGUUGUUCGGAUUUACUGGGCGUAAAGCGCGCGUAGGCGGACCUGCAAGUCGGGGGGUGAAAGCCCGAGGCUCAACCUCGGAACUGCCUUCGAUACUGCGGGUCUCGAGUCCGGGAGAGGUGAGUGGAAUUCCUAGUGUAGAGGUGAAAUUCGUAGAUAUUAGGAAGAACACCAGUGGCGAAGGCGGCACUCUGGGCCGGUACUGACGCUGAGGAGCGAAAGCGUGGGGAGCAAACAGG
rnacentral:rRNA from 1 species